GACGAACGCUGGCGGCGUGCUUAACACAUGCAAGUCGAACGGAAAGGCCCUGCUUUUGUGGGGUGCUCGAGUGGCGAACGGGUGAGUAACACGUGAGUAACCUGCCCUUGACUUUGGGAUAACUUCAGGAAACUGGGGCUAAUACCGGAUAGGAGCUCCUGCUGCAUGGUGGGGGUUGGAAAGUUUCGGCGGUUGGGGAUGUACUCGCGGCUUAUCAGCUUGUUGGUGGGGUAGUGGCUUACCAAGGCUUUGACGGGUAGCCGGCCUGAGAGGGUGACCGGCCACAUUGGGACUGAGAUACGGCCCAGACUCCUACGGGAGGCAGCAGUGGAGAAUAUUGCACAAUGGGCGGAAGCCUGAUGCAGCAACGCCGCGUGCGGGAUGACGGCCUUCGGGUUGUAAACCGCUUUCGCCUGUGACGAAGCGUGAGUGACGGUAAUGGGUAAAGAAGCACCGGCUAACUACGUG
rnacentral:rRNA from 1 species